rnacentral:rRNA from 1 species
UACGUAGGGGGCAAGCGUUGUCCGGAAUCAUUGGGCGUAAAGCGCGCGUAGGCGGCCCGGUAAGUCCGCUCUGAAAGUCCAGGGCUCAACCCUGGAAAGCGGGUGGAUACUGCCGGGCUAGAAUCCGGAAGAGGCGAGUGGAAUUCCUGGUGUAGCGGUGGAAUGCGCAGAUAUCAGGAAGAACACCCGUGGCGAAGGCGGCUCUCUGGGCCUUGCCUGACGCUGAGGCGCGAAAGCUAGGGGAGCGAACAGG